UUUAUCCUCAGCUUUGCAACAUGGAAACCUUUGGCAAAGAGAAGUUCCCAAGCUAUUUAUUUCUGAUCAUUUUUUGAUGUAUUGUGCUGGUUGGGCUCAAAAAUCUGGAGCUGUCCCACCUCCCAAAAAACUGAAAGUGAAAGCAGAAGAAUCUGCAGCCAGAAGCAGACCUCAGAUAAAGGAAAUGAGUAACAAAGUGUGGAUCUGGUGAAGGAAAGAUGAGAAGGCUCUAUCUGGUGGCUUCAUUCUAUGUUCUACUAUCCUGAUAAAGAUAGAUGGAAGAAACUAAGGAUGUUUAGAGAAGAUGAAAAUGGAUUUGAAAGUUCUCUCCUUUGUUUCAAAGAAUAUGUUAGAUAUUAUGUUGAAAGGUGCCAUGGAAAGGGUAGUCAGAAGCCAGUGAAAUCAAUGACCCAAAAGAGUUGGCUACAAGAAAUAAGAGAAAACAAGAGAAUGAAGCACUGGACUGCUGCCAAGGAAAGAUUCUCAGAGAAAUUUUACUUCUUCUACUCCCACCAUGAGCAUCCUACCUAGAUGAUAAUGUGCCUGCCUUCAGAGAAUUCAGCUGAAGUCAAAGAUGGGAAAGGUGGGCUUACAUUAAAGAUAUUCCUUAGAGAUAACAGCUAGAGAGUAUGAUGCCAGUGAAGAGAGGUCAUAGG
rnacentral:lncRNA from 1 species